GCGGAGGGCGGAAUUGGAACUGAGGAGACUCUUGGGGCAAAGUUACCUCUGGCCCCUGAUCCGAGUCCCAGAACAGCAGGGCCGGCCCACCCAUGAGGCAAGGUGAGGAGGCCGCCUCAGGUGGCAGGGUCUACAGGAGCGGCAGAUCCUGGUGAAUAUUUAUCUGAAAUUUCCAAGACAACACAGUGAAACCCAGACGGCAUCCUCAUUUCAUCCCAAGUCUUCUACACUGUCACCUUAUAACUUAGAAAGGACUCUAAUAAUAUGGAUCAGGACUUGUGCCACAUCUUAACAAUAAAGGGAAAAUGGUAGCUGUUCCAUAGAAAUGUUUGUGUGCUGCUAGCUUCACCACUUCUGUUUGAAGCCUUGGUCUUUUGCAAAAGCCACAGCACCAUCCCCAACCAGAAAACUGUGUGGAGUUUCUUCCAUGACCUUACGUGCUACAGCGAGAGGAGUUCCAAUUCUUUAUCAGCAGAAAGAAUAUAAUUUGAAAAGGG